UACGGAGGGGACUAGCGUUGUUCGGAAUUACUGGGCGUAAAGCGCACGUAGGCGGAUUUGUAAGUCAGGGGUGAGAUCCCGGGGCUCAACCUCGGAACUGCCUUUGAUACUGCAAAUCUCGAGUCCGGAAGAGGUGAGUGGAAUUCCUAGUGUAGAGGUGAAAUCCGUAGAUAUUAGGAAGAACACCAGUGGCGAAGGCGGCUCACUGGUCCGGUACUGACGCUGAGGUGCGAAAGCGUGGGGAGCAAACAGG
rnacentral:rRNA from 1 species